GGCUUUAUGCGGAAAGCAAUAUAGAAUGCAAUUCUGUAAAGGUAAUAAUUUAAUUACUAAGGUCU
rnacentral:tRNA from 1 species